CCCCAAGCAAGGAAGGAAGGAGGAAGGAGGCAGCAGACCCUCUGCCCAGACCAAACCAUCCAGAACAGCUAUUGCUAGACAGAAAACCUACAGGGUUAAGUGCUGCAGGUUGAAGUUUUAAGGAACAGAAAUUCAAGGCAUGCAGUGUUACCAGCAUGGAAAGAAGAAGCAAUGUGUGCAUCAACUACUGAAUUUCUGGGUGCCAGGAGCCCUGACAGAAACAACACAGGGUAGGAGCUCUGAACUGGAGCCACAAUGGCUUAUUCCUGUAACAACAGGUCCAGGAACUGGCUGCACUUUUAGGAUUCCUGCCUAUGCUAAUCAAAACGGAUGCACACAACUUGUCCAUGAGCAUGACUGCAUUCACACCCAUCUGUCAAGAUGGCAGUCUGCCUGCUCACAAAAUAUGAUGCCAGUUUUAGGGAUUCAUAGCUGCCAAUCUACAGAUGAAUACAGAAAGUGGCAGACACAGAAAAUGCAAUAUGUUAAGGCACUAACAGCAGUCUGUCCCUGGGGAACUGUAUACACGAUGUGCCAUAUCCCAAGGAUACAUCCACAAUUGUCCUUCUAAUAUAUGUGUUCUUAUCUUCCUCCAAGACUGUGGAUGCAUAGAUGCUUUGGGACUUCUAGGUAAGAUAAGAAGCAAAUUGUAUACAUUCUAACAUCCUUCCAAAUCUUUAAUUGAGAGGCUGAGAGGAGCAAGAAAGCAAACUACAGAGCAUCUGGUAGUUCUGAGUGCUGCAAUGCUGUAAACUGGAUCCCAAAUGAAUGUGAA